CCAUGAGGAACACUUCCUUUACAUCCUCUGUAAGCAUACCUAAGUACCUUUCUCAACUACUUGAUCCUUAUCUCCCACGAGGAACAUUUCCUUUACAUCCUCUGUAAGCAUACUUAAGUACCUUUCAGGAGGAUGGAAGAUCCUACUAGAUCUACGAGGUGGAAGAGAAAUAACUACAUCUACUGGUUCAAUGGGUUUAACCUGAUCUAAAGCUGGCCGC
rnacentral:lncRNA from 1 species